ensembl:lncRNA LINC01547 long intergenic non-protein coding RNA 1547
AGGGUCGCGGGUGUAGGGUGGCGGCGCUCCGCCUUUCACCGACGCACCUGGGAGAAACAGACCGGAGGACGCGGGUGGCGCGGAGCACGAGAAACAACGAGUUUCUGUCUAGAUCGUGGGGGACCCAAGCCCGGGGUUGCGUCCAAGGUCGGGGAUGGAGAGGACGCGACCCCCGCGGCAGUCGAGAUGGCCUUUUUAAAAUUCUAUAUUUGAGAAGGAGUCUCGCGCUGUCGCCCAGGCUGGAGCGCAAUGGCGCGAAAUCGGCUCAUUGCAGCCUCGACGUCCAGGACUCGAGCGAUCCUCCCGCCUCAGCCUCUCGAGAAGGUGGGACCACCGGUGGGCACCGCCACGCCCGGCUAAUUUUUAUUAAUGUUUUGCUAGAGCCGGGAUCUUGCUGUGUUGUCUGGCUGGUCUUAAACUCCUGGGCUCCAGCGAUCCUCCCUCCUCGGCCUCCCAAAGCGCUGGGAUUACAGGCAUGAGCCACACUGCGCCUGGCCAAGCUAGUGCAUUUUAAUUGACCUUCACUUCAUGUCAAUUUAUUUUUUACACUAUUCCAUUUAGUCCUCAGAACAGUUCUUUAGAAUUGGGUAUUGCUCCGUUUACGUGGGAAACAUAGCAGCGAGGUAACGGGCUGGGUCCCGUGCUGGGAACGGGAGCCCUGCUCAUCUGACUGCUUGCACCCUGUGCUGUCUAUGCUGGGCGUACUGGGGGGCGUUAGGGAAGAGACCACAGGUACGAUGCAAUGCCUGUCCUCAAGGAGCCCAUUGUUCUCAUGGGAACACAAAGCUGACACAUCGAGAACAAACUAUGGAACAGGCUGUGGCUGAGGGCCAUGAAGGAAGGCUGCCAAGUCCGGGCCCAGCCAGGUAGCAGCCACACCUCUAUCUACCCUGCUCCCCAACACUGGGCACCAGCACUCACCUGCCCAGGACCCACAGUGAAAACCCACCCACAAAAAAUGCACUUUGGAGAAGAGUAGCAGGUCCCAGGCAGAGCCAGGGCCACCUCUCAGAAAGGACAUCAAGUUUCUCGCCCAGCUGAGAGAUGGACAGAUGACCGCACAAGCCACUCACAGCCCAAGGUGAUGGACUCUAGGAUAUAUUCAAGGCUGAGCAACUGGCUUGAAGUCGUGUCUACUUACAUAUUCAAAGACCUAGAGUGGCCAGAAGGCUCCUCUCCAGGCCUCACAGAGGGAAACACUGGUCUAGUGAGAGACCUGCGUCCUGCCCAUCAGGACCGAAGCGGCACGCGUGAGGAUCCUGCAGGCCAAGAGACAACAGCGAUUACAAACCCCAGUCCCAGCCUUGCAGCUGACCUUGCAGGUGACGCCCUGCCUGGGUGUCUCGGUGCAGCUGCACAUCAGGGGCCUCUGCUGGACAGAAGCUCUGAGUCCACACUUGGCCCCCAGGCGCUGGAGCUGGAGCACUGCCACGAGAGGGGAUGCUGCCGUGGCUGCGCCAGCUUCAGCCCUUUCCCUGCACCGAGAUGUCCCAGUGAGCGGCUGGGUGCUCACAGUUCCCGUUGGGCCAUCAGAGGAAGAUCAAAGAUCAACCCUCCCCCAUGGGCUCCUGCCUGCCUGCCAGGUGGGUUUCCUGCCUGUCUCCCAGCCCCCAAGAGCUCCACGGACUCUGCCAGUAGCUGCUUUAAAGGAGGGAGGGAGUUUUCUGAUCCUCUGGACAUCCCUGGGGCUGGAGCUAUGGGCUGAGCCAUAGGAGAGCCAGCCCAGCUCCCUGGGGGUUGGGGGCUGUGUCUCUCCAUCCCUUAGUAAAAAUACAGCAACUCCCAACUCAAAGUCAAGGGUCAAUAGUCACAAAACCUUGGUGCAGCCUGGAACAGGCAUAGAGGUCUCAGCAGAGCUGCCCAAGGACAAGACCUAAGAUCCAGCAGGGAACUAUGUAGUCACCCCGAGAGGCCCAGCUCUCUCCGUGAGCUCUGGGCCUAGGGUGGGGGUGGUUGUUGGUUCUGCGCGCACUGUUCCCCCUACAUGAUGGGUCCAUCCCAGUUGGCUUCUCUCACUCGCUUCCUCCUGUGGAGAAGCCUGUCCAGGUGUCACUGCCUCCAGGAAGCUGUCUCUGAUUUCUCCAGUUGAACAGUGAGAUUUGCCACACCUCACAUGCAUCGCUCUUGUCCCUGGAAUUGUAACCAUAGGUUUUCCUGUCUCCUGGAGGACAAGGAUGAGGGCUUUCCACUUGAGUCUCCCUGGUGGAGCCCAGCUCCUGACAUACCUGGUAAAAGUUCUCAAGAGAAGAACAUGGAGGAGGAAUGUGGAUAACAACCCUGGCUGCCUGUGUGUUCCAAGCUAGGAAGAUGUAAUGUCCCCACAAACGGGGUAAAUGGCUUGCCUGCGUCACAGCUGUCUCAAGCCCAGGCCCUGGGUGCCAGCCCAAGCCCAAGGACUAGGUCCAGAGCCACACAGCGCCAGGCCACAUCCGCCUCACCUGGGACCUUUUGUGGGGUACAGUCUCCGGCCCCACCCAGACCUGCUGAAGGAGAGACCCCAUGGCAAGGACUCAGCCACCUGCAGUUUCAUAAGCCCCCAGUGGGUUCCUAGGCAUGAAGACCACCGGUUAGAGGCUGAACUGGCAGGAACCUGUCUCCAGCCCCUUCUCACCCCAGCCGGGCCCUGCCUCAGAGGCAGCACCCAGGACGUGGCCAUGACCCGUGGACUCCACUCAAUCCCUCUUCUCCAGGAGCCAUGCAAAGUGUCAGCCAGCCAGGCCCCUGGAAGGCAGUCAUCACCUCUUAAGGCAUUGCGGGUGUCGGUCCUGCAACUGCCAGGUGCAGCACACGACCCAUGUCCGGUGUUCGAUAGCAGGGAGCCAUGACCUGGCAACGAUUCCACGCUCAAAGGGGCACCCGGGGGGCCCUGGGUCGGGGCGGAUCAGCUUUCCCUGGGCACAUCUGCCUCAUUCCAGAUCUCCAGGGCUCAUGUCUGUGACAGGGAGGGAAGGCUCUGCCCUGGCCUUCCGUCAGCUCUGCCAGUGCAGGCUGGGCAGCCUGGGCUUUAGAGCUGGCUUCUGCCCACACUUUCUCCGUGAAAGGAAAACAACUAUGAGUCUGCCAAACGCAUCUCAGAUGCGUUUUAAAAAAUUCUGGUCCCCGCUCUCUGUCCCAUCAUCUGCCUCGGGGACUUCCUCUCUCCGUGGUUCUCACCCCAUACUCUGUCACUGCCACAUUUUCACCUGGGCCUGGCCUUUGUCUC